rnacentral:rRNA from 1 species
UGCCUACGGGGGGCAGCAGUGAGGAAUAUUGGUCAAUGGGCGAGAGCCUGAACCAGCCAAGUCGCGUGAAGGAUGACGGCCCUACGGGUUGUAAACUUCUUUUGUCAGGGAGCAAUUGGGUCCACGCGUGGGCUUAGCGAGAGUACCUGAAGAAAAAGCAUCGGCUAACUCCGUGCCAGCAGCCGCGGUAAUACGUAGGGAGCAAGCGUUAUCCGGAUUUACUGGGUGUAAAGGGCGUGUAGGCGGGCAUGCAAGCCAGAAGUGAAAUCUGGGGGCUUAACCCCCAAACUGCUUUUGGAACUGCG